CGGUGUAACCUGGCAUGUGGACUACAAUUCCCAAGAUGGCCUGGGAGCGAGCGCACUUUCGGACGCUGUCUCCGGGACCUGGAGGAAAUAGUGGGGUGGUGCAGAAGUGAGGCUUCGGUUAUUUAAACACAUCCGGUAAAGUCACCAGAGACUAGUUUUCCAGCUGCACGUCCCACUUUCUGUAGCCAUGUUAUCUAUGGCCUGGCCUCAGGGACCGAGGCACUCUGGGAAUUGUGGUUUCACACGAGUCCGGACUGACACCUGAAGGACGCGGCUUAACUGCCUCGCCCCAGUUGGGAUUGGGAGUUCCCCGACGUCAUGGGAGCGGAGGAACUUUAACCUAAUGUGGUCUCAGACUUCACCUUCUCUCCAUGACCCCUUGAAAUCUGGGGCUUCAACAGUGGUCUCUCCCAGCCUCUUUUCAUGGACUUCAGCCCUUCCACACAGUUCCAAGCUUCAGUGCUCUCCAGAACUUCUUCAUGCCUUCAAAAACAGCACCGCCUGGGUGACUCUUAACUACCAAGCUCAGCGGCCAGAAUGAGAUGCAGCCUUGGGCUGCUCUGUGUGCUGAUCCGAGGAAUCACUUCCCAGAAGAUGUUGCCUUGAUAGUGCGUGUCUCCUCUUACUCACAACUGAUUCUGCAGCCCCAGCUGACCAGUAUAAAUUGUCCAGCAAAGCGAAGGUUUUACUUGAGCAGUCCUUAAUUCAAACUGUCAAAUGGCCCUGAUAGUCUUUAAGGGACUCUUAACCUUCCCUCUGAAACUUCACAAGCCAGGCCUCCAUCAUCUGUACUGCUCUUAGGUUUAUCUUUUGAGUUCCCACAACAGCUCAUUAAGCUCUGAACACUCAACGGCUUUCCUGGCCUAAAGUUCCAAACUCUUUCCUCAGUCCUCCCAGAAACAUGACCAUAUUUAUCACAGCAGUGCCCCUUUACCCUGGCAUCAAUUUCUAUAUUAGUUAUCUUUCUGUCACUCUGAUAAACACGAUGACCAAAAGCAGCCUAGGAAAGAAAGGGUUAAUUCCAUCUUACAGCCUAAAGUCCAUCAUCCAGGGAAGUCAGGACAGGAACCUGGAGGCAGGAACUGAUACAGAAGCCAUGGAAAAGUGCUUCUUACUGGCUUGCUCAGCCUGCUUGCUAACAGCGUCCAAGACCACCUGCCCAGGGGUGACACCACCCACAGGGAGCUGAACUAUGGUAAGGCCACAUCAAUCAGCAGUCAAGAAGAUGUACCACAAGCCAAAUGGCUAGGGACAUUUUCUCAGUUAAGAUGUGUUUUCAGAAAUGCCUCUAGCUUGUGUCAAUUUGACGUAAAAACUAAGCCUCACACACAUGAAAAAAAGAUGUGAAAGUGAAGAACUUUAGAAAAAAUAAAAGGAUAUCAAAGGCCCCAGCUGAGUAAGAUGCCAUGUUGAGUUUGUACCUCUUGACCUUGACAAUACUCCUGACUUCACUUUAGCCAUGUGGAAGCAGAGGCUGCGUGGGCUAAGGUAUGUCAACGGUUGCCACACAAACCCACAAAGAGCAGGGCCAGAAUCAGAACCAGGCUGACUUCAAAACCCACAGCAGGUUCUGUGCUGCAGUUUCUGUGCUCCAUCCCGUGUUGCCAUCUUGCAGCCCAGUGGAACUUGUUAGAAAUGCAAACUGUUGUGCUCCACCCAGACCUGCAAAAUCAUAAGGCAAGGUAGAGGUAAUACUUUCAGAGGCCUAGAAAAUUCCUACAGGUGUUCUGGUUUAGCUGAAAGAACUGGUGGGAAACAGACACAACUUAAAACAAAAAACCUUAAAUUGUUUUUGUUUCGUCCUCUGGUUAGAAAAGGAGCUACAUAUUUACUGGAAAAAGGGUAUUGAAAGGAAGAGAGAUUUCUCAUUCAAUUUCCUUUUAUCGUGUUCUAUAUAAUACAGCCAUGGGGGGGGGUAGGGUUCUUUUUUAUGUUAACAUGUUAAGAGGUACCCAUGCACAUAUUUAAUUCCAAAAUUAUUGUGAGUGUUGUCCUCUAUCUCUUUCCACCUUACCCACUGAGGCAGAUAGCUCACUGAACCCAACCAAAGUUUGCCACAUUAGCUGGUCUGACUAGGCAGCCUGCUCUGAGGAUUCCCUAUCUCAGCCUCCUGCUUGCUGAUUACAGGUGGGUCACCGCACCCACAUGGGUCCUGAGGAUUCAAGCUGCUUUCCUAGAACUUGGAGAGAAAGCACUUUACCCACAAAGCCAUCUCCCAAGACCACAUAAACAUUUUAAAUCAUGUUGGAUUGUGUUGUAUGUAAUCUACUGUUUCAUAUUUAUGUAUUUUGUACAUUUUUGAGUUUUCCAUGUCAUUUGAUAUUCUCUAAAAGCAGUACUUUAGUGGCUGCUUAGUUAUUCCCUCA